rnacentral:lncRNA from 1 species
UUUGAGACUCCAAGAUCUGUUUCAACAUUGCGUCAGUGCUACUCUCUUAUGGAGCAGAGGUAGAAGAUCCGGCUUGGCCUUGUGUAGACUGAUUUCCUUUGGAGGGGAGACCUUGAGAGUAGUUUUGUCUAGCUUGGUAACCACCUUGUUGGUUGUUGUAGAAGGGCUUUUAUUUGUAGUUGUUGUACUGAAAGUUAGGCUCCUUCUUGUACCAUAUCCCAUUAGCAUUCACAAAACAUAACUCUUCUUGACCUUCUAAACCAUCAACUUCAUGAACCACAACUGUCUCCUCGUUUUUC